AUGAACGCUGGCGGCGUGCCUAAUACAUGCAAGUCGAGCGAACAGACGAGGAGCUUGCUCCUCUGACGUUAGCGGCGGACGGGUGAGUAACACGUGGAUAACCUACCUAUAAGACUGGGAUAACUUCGGGAAACCGGAGCUAAUACCGGAUAAUAUAUUGAACCGCAUGGUUCAAUAGUGAAAGACGGUUUUGCUGUCACUUAUAGAUGGAUCCGCGCCGCAUUAGCUAGUUGGUAAGGUAACGGCUUACCAAGGCAACGAUGCGUAGCCGACCUGAGAGGGUGAUCGGCCACACUGGAACUGAGACACGGUCCAGACUCCUACGGGAGGCAGCAGUAGGGAAUCUUCUGCAAAGGGCGAAAGCCUGACGGAGCAACGCCGCGUGAGUGAUGAAGGUCUUCGGAUCGUAAAACUCUGUUAUUAGGGAAGAACAAAUGUGUAAGUAACUAUGCACGUCUUGACGGUACCUAAUCAGAAAGCCACGGCUAACUACGUG
rnacentral:rRNA from 1 species